rnacentral:rRNA from 1 species
UACGGGGGGAGCAAGCGUUGUUCGGAUUUACUGGGCGUAAAGGGCGCGUAGGCGGCCACCGCAAGUCGACUGUGAAAUCUCCGGGCUUAACCCGGAAAGGUCAGCCGAUACUGCGGGGCUAGAGUGCAGAAGGGGCAACUGGAAUUCUCGGUGUAGCGGUGAAAUGCGUAGAUAUCGAGAGGAACACCUGCGGCGAAGGCGGGUUGCUGGGCUGACACUGACGCUGAAGCGCGAAAGCUAGGGGAGCGAACAGGG